GUUCCGGUUUUCCUGGCAUUCGCGCAGAAAUCUACUUCCUUUUCCAGUCUUGUUUGCAUGAGACUUUGAAUAAAAUAUAUAUUUAUCAGUCUAGUAAAAUAUAAGAUUGGAACUCAAUACAAAUUCAUGUUUAAUAAUUGUUUGAUAUGAAAAAUGUUACCUGAUGAAAGCAUUUCUAUUGUUUACAUUGAAUAUGACUGUUAUGAGGUCAUAACCUAAAGGACGUCACAGCUAAAUCCCUAACAACAGAACCAAAAUCGGGAACGUAACGGUAUUUCCGUUUCUUUUUAAUAACAUGUUUGAAUUUAAAAAAAAACCAAAUACAUACAGACUUCGUCCCCAUUCACAGGUUAUGCCUGCCUCAUGUUACAUGUAUUAGAUGACACGAAAUUGGUCAUUGAAAAUCAUAUAAAAUCUGAAUUAGCUAACCAUAAAGAGUACUAAAAAUAUCAAAGUAAGGACAAUCUUAACAUGUACAAUCAAAUAAUAUAGUACAAAGCAAGGUAAAAAUAAACAAUGGACAAAAUUAUACUGUCAUUUAUGGAAAUGCAUAAAACUAUAAACUUAAAAUACUACUUUUUGAUCGUUUUACGUACUCAUUUGGUACCCAAACUUUAGCUGUUACAUCCCUUGAUCCGGACAAAAAGGAGUCAUCGGGAAUCGCUAAAGCUGUAAGCGCACGAACAUCUUUUUCAUGUCCAGUGACACAGCAACGAAGUUUAUAGUAAGUCGCCAUUUUG
rnacentral:lncRNA from 1 species